rnacentral:rRNA from 1 species
GAUGAACGCUGGCGGCGUGCCUAAUACAUGCAAGUCGAGCGAACAGACGAGGAGCUUGCUCCUCUGACGUUAGCGGCGGACGGGUGAGUAACACGUGGAUAACCUACCUAUAAGACUGGUAUAACUUCGGGAAACCGGAGCUAAUACCGGAUAAUAUAUUGAACCGCAUGGUUCAAUAGUGAAAGACGGUUUUGCUGUCACUUAUAGAUGGAUCCGCGCCGCAUUAGCUAGUUGGUAAGGUAACGGCUUACCAAGGCAACGCUGCGUAGCCGACCUGAGAGGGUGAUCGGCCACACUGGAACUGAGACACGGUCCAGACUCCUACGGGAGGCAGCAGUAGGGAAUCUGCCGCAAUGGGCGAAAGCCUGACGGAGCAACGCCGCGUGAGUGAUGAAGGUCUGCGGAUCGUAAAACUCUGUUAUUAGGGAAGAACAAAUGUGUAAGUAACUAUGCACGUCUUGACGGUACCUAAUCAGAAAGCCACGGCUAACUACGUG